rnacentral:snoRNA from 1 species
CCGAGCCUGUGAUGUGCUGUUAUCCCUGUCUGACUCCUCUGUGAGGAAAAAACUCCACUGAGGCUCAU